GAGAGCAAGACUGCUGUGCUCUCGGGAGCACGGAGGCCUCCGUGCUCUUGAGCCGUUUUCGAUGAUGGAAUUUUCGAAUCGAUGAUCGGCUCCGUUAGACUUGAUCUAGCGUAAUUGAAGUUUCUAGAAAAUAAUUUUUGUGAUUUUUCGAUAUUAUUUACCUAACAUCGAAAGGAUUCAAAAUCAAUAAUUUUUAACGACUGAAAAUAAAAAUUCUAUAAAAAGUGAUGAUAUAGCACUAAAAUUUUCGAUCAGAAAUAUUGAUAUUGUUGUAGAUAGUAUAAAGAAUUUUGUAUCAAUUUUUCAUCUGAUUUGAAUACUUUUACACCGUUAAACUUGAAAACGACAGAUAUUAACUAUUAAAAAUUAUUGAUUUUGAAUUCUUUCGAUCACUAGGUAAAUGAUAUUAAAAAAUAGCAAAAAUUAUUUUCUAGAAACUUCAAAUAUCCUAAAUCAAGUCUAACGGAGCCGAUCAUUGAUUCGAAAAUUCCAUCAUCGAAAACGGCUUAGGAGCACGGAGCCUUCCGUGCUUCCAGCUCGUUUUCGAUGUUGCGACUUUCGAAUCGUCGAUCAGCUCCGUUAAAGUUGAUUUAGAGUAUUUGGAGUACCUAGAAAAUAAAUUUUAUUAUUUUUCGAUAUCAUUUGCCUAGUGAUCGAAUGGGCUCGAAAUCAGCAAAUUUUAAUGGCCGUAGUGAGUCGUUUGCAAGUUUAACGGUGUAGAAAUAUUCAAAUCACGUGAAAUUUUGAUAGAAAAUUCUUUAUACUAUAUAAAACAAGAUCGAUAUCUUUGAUUUAAAAUUUUAAUGUCAUAUUAUUACAUUUUGUAAGAUUUUUAUUUUCAGUCGUUAAUUUUAAGCUUAUUCGAUCACUAGGCAAAUAAUAUUGAAAAAUAAUAAAAUUUAUUUUCUAGGUACUCCAAAUACUCUAGAUCAAGUUUAACGGAGCCAAUCGACGAUUCGAAAAUCGCAACAUCAAAAAUGAGCUGGAAGGCUCCGUGCUUUCGAUAACAUAGUAGCCUCACUCUAUCUAUAUAU
rnacentral:lncRNA from 1 species